rnacentral:lncRNA from 1 species
AGACUGCACUAUCAUUGUCACAAAAAUAAGACAACGUCAUCGUUUUUAUUAUUGGGAAUAAAAGAGUGGGUUGCGAGAUUCAAUAACCUGCAAUGCAAAAUUUCGAAAACACAAUUUUCUUGCAGAUUUAGCAGUAGAAAAGUCAUACAUAUAACAUGGCUGAUUCUUUGUAACAACAACACCCUAGAAAAAUUAUCAGAGGAAAACUAAUCAUUUCCAUUGAAAAGAAAACUACUGACUGGAGGACAUUGAAGAAAUUUUAGUUCUUGAAUAAAGCUUCACUAAACUACGUUUACAACGUUACAACUAAGAGUUCAGAUGUCCCCGAGUAUUAACGAACCUGACGACAGUAAGCACAGUAUGUAUCCGGGUACAUACAGACUAAAUGAGACACUCGAGUCCAUCUGAAUUACCGAUCAAAAUAUGGUAAAUGACCUCCAGUUUCUGUAAUCAUCGGUUCUUGGCAUGAAACCUUAUGGAAAUAUGUGUGGAAGAUGAUAAGCAAAUGAGAGCAGCAUUUCAUCGUAGACCUACCAAGUCCAUUCGUAAGGCAAGCAGACAGAUAUAUUUACAGCAAGAACUCGAGGCUUUAUUGUUAUAAUGUGCAACUUUUCAAGCACGUCAGCAAGAUGACGAACCCCAAAGACGUAAUCGGCAGGAAUCGUUUUAGGUUGAUUAGAUAAAGAUGAAAACCUCCUUUGAAAGAUUUGUUUCAGCAAUGAAGCAACAUUCCAUGUAUGAGAGAUGAAAAAUAAGCUUAGCUUCAGGAUCUGGGUUCCAGAAAUUCCGUACGAAACAAGAAAACUGGAGAGAAGCAUGUUCGAUCCCGUGAUUGGCCUAUUUCUCUUUGCAGAAGAAACGAUUAAUUCCAAUACUUAUCUUCAUGUUCUACAAAAGUUUGUUGUAACUCGGUUGCACCAGUUGCAAACAACAGUAAGAUGGUACGCGGCCAAAUUAGAGAGUCCAGCUCGCUG